rnacentral:rRNA from 1 species
GACGAACCGUGCGACCGUUAUUCGGAAUCACUGGGCUUAAAGCGCGUGUAGGCGGGACGGCACGUCGGUCGCUGAAAUCCCCCGGCUCAACCGGGGAACGGGCGCCGAUACGACCGCCCUGGAGGGACGUAGGGGGACCUGGAACUUCCGGUGGAGCGGUGAAAUGCGUUGAGAUCGGAAGGAACGCCCGUGGCGAAAGCGAGGUCCUGGACGUUUUCUGACGCUGAGACGCGAAAGCCAGGGGAGCGAACGGG